AGUUAAACAGUACGUGAAAUUGUUGAAAGGGAAACGAUUGAAGUCAGUCAUACUAACGGGAAAUCAACCUCCUGAGUUUGGUCUCGUGGGUUUCGAAGAGUUUAAAAGCCUUUGGAUUUUCGAGAUUGGGCUCUUCUGGUGUACUUUCUCGUACGGUUAGUCAACAUCGGUUUUGAAUGUCAUAAAAUGACUGGAGGAAUGUGGCUUCGAUCUCGUAUUGAAGUGUUAUAACCUUUGGUAGAUGUGAUGUUUGAGACCGAGGAUUGCAACGGAUACCCUUCUGGGCUAUUCGUCUGAUCUCUGAAACGUUGCCUUGAUGUCGAAAGCUUGCUUAUGAUGUUAGGGUAUUACGGUCAAAAGGUUAGAACGGAUUAAAUUCGUUAAGGAUGUUGACGUAAUGACUUUAAA
rnacentral:misc_RNA from 1 species